AUUGAACGCUGGCGGCAGGCCUAACACAUGCAAGUCGAGCGGAACGGCGGGCGGGUGGGUGAUGCAUAGGAAUCUGCCUGGUAGUGGGGGAUGACGUCCGACAACAGGCGCUAAUACCGCAUACUAGCAGUCGGGCCUGGGUGGGAUUAGCUAGUUGGUGGGGUAAAGGCCUACCAAGGCGACGAUCCGUACCUGGUCUGAGAGGAUGAUCAGUCACACUGGAACUGAGACACGGGCCAGACUCCUACGGGAGGCAGCAGUGGGGAAUAUUGCACAAUGGGCGAAAGCCUGAUCCAGCCAUGCCGCGUGUGUGAAGAAGGUCUUCGGAUUGUAAAGCACUUUAAGUUGGGAGGCGUUACCAGCAGAAUAAACACCGGCUAACUUCGUGCCAGCCGCCGCGGUAAUUC
rnacentral:rRNA from 1 species